rnacentral:rRNA from 1 species
UACAGAGGUCCCAAGCGUUGUUCGGAUUUAUUGGGCGUAAAGAGCGUGUAGGCGGCCAGGUAGGUCUGCUGUGAAAACUCGAGGCUUAACCUCGAGAUGUCGGCGGAAACCAUCUGGCUAGAGUCCGGAAGAGGAGAGUGGAAUUCCUGGUGUAGCGGUGAAAUGCGCAGAUAUCAGGAAGAACACCCGUGGCGAAGGCGGCUCUCUGGGACGGUACUGGCGCUGAGACGCGAAAGCGUGGGGAGCGAACAGG